rnacentral:rRNA from 1 species
AUACGGAGGGUGCAAGCGUUACUCGGAAUCACUGGGCGUAAGGCGCGCGCAGGCGGCUAUUUAAGUUGGAUGUGAAAGCCUACGGCUCAACCGUAGAACUGCAUCCAAAACUAUUUAGCUAGAGUGUGGGAGAGGAAGAUGGAAUUAGUUGUGUAGGGGUAAAAUCCGUAGAGAUAACUAGGAAUACCAAAAGCGAAGGCAAUCUUCUGGAACACUACUGACGCUGAGGCGCGAAAGCGUGGGGAGCAAACAGGAUUAGAUACCCUUGUAGUCC